UCUAACCAAACUACCUGUGCUGCUACGGUCUCCAGUAAAUUUAUGAACAAGUAAUUUCCCACAAGUUUUACACUUAGCCUUGUUGUGUUCUCUUACUUGAGUAAAAAAAUUCCAAACUAAUGAUGUUCUUUUGACGUUUAGCAGGUUGUUUACUAAAAGUGGGAGUUUCUAGAGGUGGGUGUGCCGGUGCAUUACCUGAGUUAUGAGCAGGACUAGUAGGUGUAUCAUCUAAAUCUGGUGCUUGGGUUUCAUCAUCA
rnacentral:lncRNA from 1 species